GAUAACCUCUCGGGCUCCAGGACGGGUCUCUCUGUCUCCCGGAACUUGCUGCUGGAGCUCUGUUCGCCCUCGGUGACAAUCGUGACAAUCGUAUGAAUGAGAUUUUCACCUCCUGAACGGGCUCGGUCCCGCAGUGGACGCCAGCAGGUCCUCGUGGUUGUGAACACGGACAGAAGCGGUUUGCAAUCAUCAGUCUGUUUUGGGGAGCUGUCUCCCACGGGGAGAAGCAAAGUGGAGGCAAAUAUGGAGGCAGCUUCAUUUUAGCACGCUGUUCUUAUCCUGUUAACGGGGAUCAGCAAGGCGCGUGAUGCAAAAUCCCAGGGCUUCCAGACCUUACCCUCUUAGCAGGCUCCCCUGACUCCAGUCUUUACCAGAUUUUCUUCCCGUGAGAACUCAGUUUCCCCAGGACCAGAGCAACACAAUGGAAGCAGAGAAACAAAGGAAGAUCAAGUUUCUACCUGCGCUGCCUUCCCGCCUAAAUCCUCGAGUGCGGGAGAACUUGGAGCCCCUGCCUCCCAGACCCCGUCGUCCCCCAUCGCUAUGUGUUGGCAUCUUUCCCAGGGAGACAGAGAAACAGGUGCUCCUGGUGCUCCGGCUGACCUCCGCCCUGGGGCUGCCCCCUGCUCCGCACACCAGCCCAUCGUCUCUCAGCCCUGCCGGCCCCCACCCCUCACCUUUGCCCCCUGGCCAGCAGGCAACGCGUGCGGUGUGUGUUUGGAGGAGGAGAGAAAUCGCGUGUAGGGUCGGGUCAGGAAGCGCGUGGAGGGACUCUAAAAUGUGUAGACUCUUGCCCGUUCUGAGAGCUCCCACUUCGGAUGCCUCUUAAAACCCAGGAAUCCAGGCUCCUGCCCGCUGACCCUCCGGAGGGUCCAAGGCCGCACCCGCCCUGGCUGUUCACAGCUGGCCUCUCCCGGGCCAGAGUGCCCGUGCUGCUGGGACUAUGACGUUCCGGACUGCGGGGCUGAAUUUUUCUCCGCACUUGCCCUGAGUUCUUUGUAAUAAUAGCUGCUCCUGGGCCAUCACCUUCUCCAUCAGAGAGACCCAUCAAAUGAACCAGCCGAGCCCAUAAAUUAUAGCACAAACCGUUCCAAACAAUAAAGGCAAUUUUACUUACUGAA